AGUUCAAAAGAUCUAAAAUUGUUCUGAUUCGAGCACAAAUUCAGAGACUUGCUAAUGUGUACCGAUCACUGAAGACAAAAGGGAGGGGAAAGAUCAGAGACUGAAAGCGCUGUCGACUGGAUACUUCUAAUCACGUUGGAGUUCUGCAGUCUCCAUAGCAACGGCACAGACUGGAGUGUAUAAUGAUGGGUGUGAUACACUGGUCAUUCACAAGGGGCUGCUGUAUCCUCGCCAAACGCUCGCAGAAGCCCGCCAGCUCCAUUCUCCCGCAGGAUGGACCUCCCGCCUCGUCUUAAGAAAGAGCAGUGAGGAAGGAGACAGAAGCGGACGAAGCUUUAUAGGAGUUUAUUCUCCGGAGGCCGGAUUGCCUGUGUGGACCCCAGCUUGCCAAACAUAGGGGCGCGUGGACUGUUCCCUGCUCCUCCACACUUCUGGGAGGAGGUGCCUUCAAAAAACAUCCCCCUCGUCCAGCCUCCGGGCCCUGAUUUCCCCCUGGCUAGACAGCCCCAGCGCACCACUUGCCUUUUCUGUGUCAGUAUUCUGUCUCUUUACCGAAAGAAGAUGGACUCCUGUGUUGAUGUGCUGUUUCUGCUGCUAAAUUCUAGGGAAUGGAAGCCCUGCCUCCUGCUGAUGACGCUUGAGCGGAUAGUUUCUAUGGCUGUCAUGUUGUGGCCACAGAUGGGUUGAAUUGUCACCAUUUCAGAGAGGGAGUUGAAGGAAACGCUGUCGCACUGUGACCAGAUGGAGUCCUUCUAUCGCUCGUUUGAGUA
ensembl:lncRNA